rnacentral:rRNA from 1 species
UACAGAGGGUGCAAGCGUUAAUCGGAAUUACUGGCGUAAGCGUGCGCAGGCGGUUCGCUAAGACAGAUGUGAAAUCCCCGGGCUUAACCUGGGAACUGCAUUUGUGACUGGCGGGCUAGAGUAUGGCAGAGGGGGUAGGAAUUCACGUGUAGCAGUGAAAUGCGUAGAGAUGUGGAGGAAUACCGAUGGCGAAGGCAGCCCCCUGGCCAUACGUGAACGCUCAUGCACGAAAGCGUGGGGAGCAA